UACGUAGGUGGCGAGCGUUGUCCGGAAUUACUGGGUGUAAAGGGAGCGUAGGCGGGAAAGCAAGUCAGAAGUGAAAACUAUGGGCUCAACCCAUAGCCUGCUUUUGAAACUGUUUUUCUUGAGUGAGUCAGAGGCAAGCGGAAUUCCCAGUGUAGCGGUGAAAUGCGUAGAUAUUGGGAGGAACACCAGUGGCGAAGGCGGCUUGCUGGGGCUUUACUGACGCUGAGGCUCGAAAGCGUG
rnacentral:rRNA from 1 species